rnacentral:lncRNA from 1 species
UAUGGGAAAGUAUUGUUCUUUAUGUAAAGAUUUAAAAAUAGACUAAUAGUUUACAGAGUUACUAUAUAAAAUGUGAUGUGAAUUUAUUUCAAACAAGUUGUAAUGGUACCAGAAACCACAGUAAAAGUUAAUAUAUAUAAAAACUACUAAACAAAAAAGCUUGAAGUGGGGUGAGGUAUGGAAGACCAAAAGUAAAUUUAAAAAAGAAAAUUUGAAAGGAAACACCUCUAUUAGGGGCAGUUAAAUAUAACACUCCAGUUUUUUCUAAUAAUGGUAUGGAUCAACAAAUGAAAUUUGAACUUUUAAAGAUGACUCUAAGUGUAUUUUGUUUUUUAAAUGCACAACUGAUUCUUCUAUACUGUAAUGUUUCUUUGCUGAGGCUGGAAGAUGGCCAGACUGCUGACUUUGUGCCUUUAAAAUGCAUUCUGCUUUGAUAGUGGCAGACUUUUUUGGUGCUGGAGAAGAUUCAUUAGCAGUCUUAUAUGUGCUUUUCAGGAAAUAAUCUUUCUACUUAGGCCUUGAGAAAUUCAAAAUGGCAUGAUUUAGGCUUGGACCAAAUAUAAGAUCUUUUACAAUGCAAACAAAGUGUAUUGAAUAAAGGGUUGAAAAAUAUCAUAAUGACAAGUGGAAAUUUUGAUGGUUGGUAAUUCUUUAAAAUGUAUUAAAAAAUAUACAGAGUUUGAAAUUUUCAGUAUGACUAUCUUGAAAAUUUUCAAAUUUUCCUCAUUUACAGAAUGUUUCUAACUUGAAAAAUGGUUAAAGACUAUUGCCUUAGAAAGUUUUCAGAGGCACAGUCAACCUUACAUAAUUUGUAUAUGCGAUUGAAAUGUUUACACACAGAGUUAACUAUAAAAGAACAAUUAAAACUUAUUUCAGAGUAAAUUGAAUUGGCUUUGACUUGAGAGAGUCUAUCUUAUUCCCAGUAGAAACUACAUUAAGAAGGUGACAUUAUUUCUUUAGCUUUCUGCUACUUCAGCUCUUAGAUAUGUCAGGUCUGGUCUAUAGUAUUGCUGAGAUGGAGUUGUUAUAAGAUACGUGAAAUCACUAAGAAAAUCAAAUCUGAAUAGUUUAUAGAGACGACCAAGCUUGGGUGCAAAAACCAAGAUGUUUGCCAGAUGCAGACUCCUUGGCCCACGGCAGAGUUUUGUGCCAGUGAUUUCAUUUCGGGUCUAGGGACCAAUGGCUUAAUAUAAAAUCACCGGGUGUCAAUCAAGUAUAGGAAUCUAUCAAUUUUUUUUAAAUAGGGUGAAUCUUUUUCAUUUGCUUAUUCAACAGUUGUGGCAUAUUGUGUCAGGUACUAAAUUAAUUUACCCUUAAGGAGGUCACAGUCUAGGAGGAAACAUGGGCAAACAGAUAGUUACUUAUUUAAUGGCAUACCCUAACUCUGAGAGUUUAGCAAUGAUAUUUUAAAAUGCUCUUAUUUUUUAUGAAGUGAGGGGAAAGCAAUUUUGUGUAAUCAUUGGCUAUUAAAAACUAAAAUGUCAUUAACAACAGGAAUUAAAAGUAUCCCCAAAUUGGAGGAACCCCCAUAGGUCAGGCAGCCUCUCUCUCAGGACUCCCUCUUACAAAACCCAGCCUCUGCUCUAACAGUCCCAGUAAUGGGGGGCAUUUAUUACAUAGCAUAGUGGUUUUUUCCUGCUGUUUCUUUUAAAGAAAAAAAAAAUUUUCUUUUCGUCUAAAUUGUUAAAAUACCCAAAACAUUUGAUAGAAAUUGAAUUCUGUCAACAGUAUUAUUUAUACUAAGAUCAGAACAAUUUCUUGAGACCUUAUUGUCUUAUAUUAAGUUUGGCCUUUGUUGCGAAUGUAAUGUUCAUAUUUAUUUGAAUUUUAAGAUUGGUUAAAUGUUAAUGAAAAGCAAUUUAAUUGUUAAUUUUUGGCAGUGCCUUUUUCUCUGUAUGCCUUAAUUUUAUUUUAUAUCAAUAAUAAUUCAAGUUACCCACCGAAAUGAAGGUUUUUCCAAAAUCAGGAGGCUUCAAGAGGUCAUUUGGCCUUAGGCUGUGUGUUGGCCCUUAAACAUUUUUUAAUGCCUGCUUCCUCCUCCUACCCUUUUCUACCUCUUUUUUUUAUGUUAGCAUUAGUCUGUGAUAGACACACUGCAGUCUCCACUAGGUGUGAAUUCCUAAGAUAAGGAGGUAUUCUAAUUCUAAAGAGACAUAGUAAAUUGCUUUUCAGGUUGAUUACUUGAUUUUCAGUCCCAUUGGCAGUGUCCAAAUUCUUUGUAUAUCAUGUCAGUUAUGAUUUUCAUAGCAGAGCUGGAAUGGUUGUUUUUGCCCUAAAGAGGUCCUUUAAAUGGUUUACAGGUGUUAAGGCAAUGAGACUUAGGGCAAUGAGCAAGAAGUACAGGGAUAGCAAAUUCUAAUCCUUACUUUUUAACUAACAUCUUGACUAAAACUCUAGCUUACUUCUCUGUGAAGUGUGUGUGUGUUUGCAGUUGGGGCAGGGGUGGGAAGGAAGAAAAGAUAUGAAUGUUCAAUUAGAUUAGUCUCUGUUCUUGGAAGAACAACUCAAAUGUGUAUGACCUACUGAUGAUGGAUGAGUGUAAUUGUCCUCGGGUAGGAAUGCCAGCACAUUUUCCACAAGUAGCUAGUACAAAUGAUUGUUUAAUAAAGGUAUUUAUUGUAAUUUGCCAAGCUCUUGGUUGCUAAAAGUAGAUUAAAAUUGAAUUUGUAUGUGUGUAUAAUAGUGAGCUUAUAUAUAAUUCUUCAAUAGAAAGUAAGUGAUUUUGCAUAGCUCUUCAUGAACUCUUUGGAAUAGAAAUUCUGCCAGACAUUAUCAAAACAAGCUUCCUUAGCUUACCAAGUGUUCAAAAGGAAAUUGUCUUAUACCUCUUUUUGGUUGGCUAGGGAAGGCAUGCUGUGAAGCCACUGUUCCUUCUUCAUAGUCGUCUUUAGCUUUGCUUUGGCUUCUGCCACAGUCUGGACAGGAUGCCAUAAUAGGUGUGAGAAGUGUCAGGGCCAACUAUUCUCCUUACUCACCUUUCAGAGCUGUAGAUGGUACUGAGCUCUCAGGAGAGUCUAGAGAAUCUUCUCUUGGUGAUAGUGAGAGUGGACAUGGUUUAGUUUCAGAAAGUUGAGGGAGAAGUCUUAACUAUAUAAAGAAUAGAAUAAAUUUUCUGUAUUGCCUAUCUCAUGUAAAUUCUUCAUAUUUUUCAUAAUUGUGCAUUUUAAUUGACAGUAAUGAUAUUUUUGUUAAUAAGAGCAAAGACAUUAAAUCAGUGAGCACUAUUAUUCCCUGACUGAUGACUUCUUGUUUGUAUUCACACUCUGUAUUAUCAGAAUCACUUUAAAACCAAAGCUUUUAUAUUCCCUGUACACAUAGCCAAAAUGAUUAGCACUGUUACGUCUGCCCACCUGUAAGCUAAUAGUAUAAAAAUGAUAAAGCAGGUACUCGUAGAAUUUGUAUCUUAAUCUAUCCUUCAAGUAAAAGGACAGGUGCUCAGUGUUUGCAUUUAGACAUGCAGAAUUUACUUCAACUCUUACAGAAUCAUAUAGACAUUACGAACUUGAGCUUGCACAUGUGCCAAUCUUACCAACGCCACUUGGCCACAGACACUUCUACAUAUACAUUGACAUGUGAUGCCUCAGGUUGGUGGCAUACUUUCUUCCUGGUGUCUUAACAUUUAUGAACUUGUAUUUGACUUGAGGGGCAUUUCAGGAACGCUGUGAAGAAAAGUAGGUUAUGGAUAGACAUCUGCUUUGUUCCAAAAUGGAUUUGACAUAUUCUCAUUUUUCCAAAGACUUUUUUCCACCAGGAACAAGAAGAGAAGAUUAGUGGAAACAUUUGAGCUGGAAAGGCUUAUGGGCAAAAGAAAGUGGGCCAAACCCUUGCAAUAUACCCUAUUCAAGUGAAGGUACAGUGUCUAAGGAUAAGAAUACUUCUUUAAAAACAA